rnacentral:rRNA from 1 species
AGAAUCAACGCUGGCGGCGUGCCUAACACAUGCAAGUCGAACGAGAAAGUGGAGCAAUCCAUGAGUAAAGUGGCGCACGGGUGAGUAACACGUGACUAACCUACCUUUUAGUGGGGGAUAACCUAGGGAAACCUGGGCUAAUACCGCAUAAUACCUACGGGUCAAAGCAGCAAUGCGCUGAAAGAGGGGGUCGCGGUCGAUUAGUUAGUUGGCAGGGUAAUGGCCUACCAAGACUGUGAUCGAUAUCCGGCCUGAGAGGGCGCACGGACACACUGGAACUGAAACACGGUCCAGACUCCUACGGGAGGCAGCAGUGGGAAUUUUGCGCAAUGGGGGAAACCCUGACGCAGCAACGCCGCGUGGAGGAUGAAGUCCCUUGGGACGUAAACUCCUUUCGAUCGGGACAUAAUGACGGUACCGGAAGAAGAAGCCCGGCUAACUUCGUGCCAGCAGCCGC